rnacentral:rRNA from 1 species
UUGAUCCUGGCUCAGAAUCAACGCUGGCGGCGUGCCUCAGACAUGCAAGUCGAACGCGAAAGCCCCCUUCGGGGGGCAAGUAGAGUGGCGCACGGGUGAUUAACACGUAGGUAAUCUACCUUCGGAUGGGGAAUAACAACCGGAAACGGUUGCUAAUACCGCAUAAUGCAGCGGCACCUAAUGGUGACAGUUGUUAAAGUGGGGGAUCGUAAGACCUCGCGUCUGAAGAGGAGCCCGCGGCAGAUUAGCUAGUUGGUAAGGUAACGGCUUACCAAGGCGAUGAUCUGUAGCCGGCCUGAUGGGCGGUCGGCCACACUGACACUGACAUACGGGUCAGACUCCUACGGGAUGCAGCAGUCGGGAAUUUUGGGCAAUGGGCGAAAGCCUGACCCAGCAACGUCGCGUGAAGGAUGAAAUCCUUCGGGAUGUAAACUUCGCAAGAACGGGAAUAAUAAGUGAGAGUUAAUAUCUCUUACGAUGACGGUACUGUUUGUAAGCUUCGGCUAACUCCGUGCCAGCAGCCGCGGUAAUAAGGU